rnacentral:rRNA from 1 species
AACGGGGGGGGCCAGCGUUAUUCAGUUACUAGGCGUAAAGGGUGCGUAGGCGUCUAUUUUUGAGUUUUUGUAAAAGGCUAAUGCUAAAAAUUAGCAUACAAUUGCUACUUUAUAGAUUGAGUUAUGAACGGGUUAUAUAGAAUUUUUGGUGUAAGGGUUAAAUCUUACGAUUCCAAAAAGAAUACUUGUAGUGAAGACGAAUAUCUAGUUUAUAACUGACGUUGAGGCACGGAGGUAUGGGUAGCAAACAGG